rnacentral:rRNA from 1 species
AUCCGCCGACGUUCCUCCGAUGACUCGGCGGGGAGCUUUCCCCGGGAAACCAAAGCUUUUGGGUUCCGGGGGAAGUAUGGUUGCAAAGCUGAAACUUAAAGGAAUUGACGGAAGGGCACUACCAGGAGUGGAGCCUGCGGUUUAAUUUGACUCAACACGGGAAAUCUCACCAGGCCCGGACAUUUGAAGGAUUGACAGAUUGAUAGCUCUUUCUUGAAAAAGUGGGUAGUGGUGCAUGGCCGUUUUUAGUUGGUGGACUGAUUUGUCUGCUUAAUUGCGUUAACGAACGAGACUCUGACCUAUUAACUAGGCGAUACCGGUAUAUACAUAGCUACCGGCGAGAUUUAUUCUUCUUAAGGGGACGGGCGGCUCCUAGCCGCACGAGAUUGAGCAAAAACAGGUCAGUGAUGCCCUUAGAUGUUCUGGGCCGCACGCGCGCUACACUGAAGGAAUCAGCGUGUGCUCCCCUGUCCGAAAGGUCCGGGUAACCCGCUGAACCUCCUUCGUGCUAGGGAUUGGGGCUUGAAAUUGUUCCCCAUGAACGAGGAAUUCCCAGUAAGCGCGAGUCAUAAGCUCGCGUUGAUUAAGUCCCUGCCCUUUGUACACACCGCCCGUCGCUACUACUGAUUGAAUUAUUUAAUAAGGUCUUCGGACCGGCGAUAAGCGGCACCGACGUCUCGUUCGGUAUCGAUUUCGCUGGAAAGAUGUCCAAACUUGAUUAUUUAGAGGAAGUAAAAGUCG